rnacentral:rRNA from 1 species
GUGGGGAAUAUUGGACAAUGGGCGAAAGCCUGAUCCAGCCAUGCCGCGUGUGUGAAGAAGGUCUUCGGAUUGUAAAGCACUUUAAGUUGGGAGGAAGGGUAGUAACCUAAUACGUUGCUACUUUGACGUUACCGACAGAAUAAGCACCGGCUAACUUCGUGCCAGCAGCCGCGGUAAUACGAAGGGUGCAAGCGUUAAUCGGAAUUACUGGGCGUAAAGCGCGCGUAGGUGGUUCAGUAAGUUGGAAGUGAAAUCCCCGGGCUCAACCUGGGAACUGCUUUCAAAACUGCUGAGCUAGAGUACGGUAGAGGUUGGUGGAAUUUCCUGUGUAGCGGUGAAAUGCGUAGAUAUAGGAAGGAACACCAGUGGCGAAGGCGACCACCUGGACUGAUACUGACACUGAGGUGCGAAAGCGUGGGGAGCAAACAGGAUUAGAAACCCGAGUAGUCC